CCAAAACAAUGACGUCAAGUGCAACUAACCUUACUGCCCUAGCAAACCUUCGUCCAUAUCUCCAAUUGUGCCCUGCCAUUCACGCCGCCGCCAAUAGCAGGUUGUAGAGCAGGUGGUGGUUAGGGAGGAGUCGAAUAUAGGUGACCCGUUCAUCUUUGAGACGUAGCGCCACAAUGGCAUAAGGGAGCUUUGCCCUGCGAAUGGAGGAGCACAAGAUAAUCCGUGCCCGUGCUCUCACCCCCCUGCAUAAACCCAAUUCUGUUACGAUGAGGUUCAUUUUCGAGCUCAAAGGUACUCUAAUUACUUAUCUGAACUUUCUCAAGUUCACAAUUCGAAAAUUGGAAAUUGUAGGCUGUUUCCUGUAUUUUUCCCUUUCUAAGUCAAAUCAUCCAAUUUGAGGAUCACUCAAUCUUUCUUGUCGAUGCUUGUCUAGGCUCAUGGGUCUUAUGUCCAGAAACUUAGCUGGUCUCCAAAACUCCCAUCUAACCGACCAUUUGCAGGUUUCUGUCCUGAUAAUGCAAUGGUUGUUGACAGAUACACUACAAUCCUUGGGGCUCCAUUUAAAUUUGAAAUUCCACUUUUUAUUGUACAGAAAGUACCACCUAAUAAUGUCCACAGUUUUGUACAUCCCAUUUUUUCUACUAUGGUCCAAGGUGGUAAUAUAAAAUUAUUCAGAAAUCUGCUUCAAAAACAACUAAUCACUUCUGUUUUCAGAGAUUCACAAUCUCAGACUUAGCCAUUUUUUCUGUUAGACUGCAGAUAGUUCAGAAAUAUGUUUUUGAACCCCUGAAUUAAAUUGUUUCUUUUGUUAUCAUUAAUCGACAAUAUGCCCAAAAGAUUCCCCAGACUUCAAACCUCAAGUCUGGGCCAAAUAUUUGCAAUGUUCUAGAAGGAAUGUGGCUCCAGCUCUAACGGUGAGUCCGACGAGGUUGCGAUGGCGAAGAGAGCGACUCUUUGGAGGAUGAGGUGGCCCCAAGGAAUACCAUGGGAGACGUGCCUCUAGAGUAAUACAAGGACGAAUAGCACAUUGUGUAUGAUAUCGAUGGAAGAUCAAGAAACGUGAUAAGGAGGGGCGCAUUGAGGCCUACCUCAGGAACGCACGUGAUGCCAAGAAUUGGCAUCUCAAAUGCAAAUGUGGGGAGACGGUGCCUCAUCAAUGGCGAGUAGGUUGAUUCUCUGCUAGCUAGCGGCACCAUUGCUCACCACAACUGGUUUGCUUGAGCAACUUAAUGUCACUCUCAAGAGGAUCCCCGUUUCCACCAACACCCUGAAGCACCACACAAGCUUUAGAAAGUCGGAAUUGUACUCCGUAUACAUAAAUUACCAUGAUAUUAUAUGUUUCUGUAAUUCUAUGUUGAUUCUUUAGAAAUAAUAUAUAUGAUAUUGUAAUGUUUGUUCGACAUCAGUUUAUUUUAUUGACAUAUUUAUAAUAAUAUUAUAUAUUUAUAUUGUCAAUAUAAUAUUAUUGUUACGGUGA